AAAAAUUUAGUUAAUCCCCAUAACAUUAACUUGUCAAGUUAAAAUAGCUCUUAUGAGAGCAAUUUUUA
rnacentral:tRNA from 1 species